GCGCCUGUAGCUCAGCUGGAUAGAGUAAUCGGCUUCGAACCGAUUGGUCGGGGGUUCGAAUCCCUCCAGGCGCGCCA
rnacentral:tRNA from 1 species